rnacentral:rRNA from 1 species
CGAACGAACUUCCGUUAAUUGAUCAGGACGUGCUUGCACUGAAUGAGAUUUUAACACGAAGUGAGUGGCGGACGGGUGAGUAACACGUGGGUAACCUGCCCAGAAGCAGGGGAUAACACCUGGAAACAGAUGCUAAUACCGUAUAACAGAGAAAACCGCAUGGUUUUCUUUUAAAAGAUGGCUCUGCUAUCACUUCUGGAUGGACCCGCGGCGCAUUAGCUAGUUGGUGAGGUAACGGCUCACCAAGGCGAUGAUGCGUAGCCGACCUGAGAGGGUAAUCGGCCACAUUGGGACUGAGACACGGCCCAGACUCCUACGGGAGGCAGCAGUAGGGAAUCUUCCACAAUGGACGCAAGUCUGAUGGAGCAACGCCGCGUGAGUGAAGAAGGGUUUCGGCUCGUAAAGCUCUGUUGUUAAAGAAGAACGUGGGUGAGAGUAACUGUUCACCCAGUGACGGUAUUUAACCAGAAAGCCACGGCUAACUACGUGCCAGCAGCCGCGGUAAUACGUAGGUGGCAAGCGUUAUCCGGAUUUAUUGGGCGUAAAGCGAGCGCAGGCGGUCUUUUAAGUCUAAUGUGAAAGCCUUCGGCUCAACCGAAGAAGUGCAUUGGAAACUGGGAGACUUGAGUGCAGAAGAGGACAGUGGAACUCCAUGUGUAGCGGUGAAAUGCGUAGAUAUAUGGAAGAACACCAGUGGCGAAGGCGGCUGUCUGGUCUGUAACUGACGCUGAGGCUCGAAAGCAUGGGUAGCGAACAGGAUUAGAUACCCUGGUAGUCCAUGCCGUAAACGAUGAUUACUAAGUGUUGGAGGGUUUCCGCCCUUCAGUGCUGCAGCUAACGCAUUAAGUAAUCCGCCUGGGGAGUACGACCGCAAGGUUGAAACUCAAAAGAAUUGACGGGGGCCCGCACAAGCGGUGGAGCAUGUGGUUUAAUUCGAAGCUACGCGAAGAACCUUACCAGGUCUUGACAUCUUCUGCCAACCUAAGAGAUUAGGCGUUCCCUUCGGGGACAGAAUGACAGGUGGUGCAUGGUGUCGUC